GGGGAAAUAAUAUAAGGGCUAGUAUCCCGUGUUUGCAUCACGGGUGUUAGGGUUCGAGUCCCUAUUUCUCCA
rfam:Triticum urartu cultivar G1812 contig226985, whole genome shotgun sequence.